rnacentral:ncRNA from 2 species
UGAUGGAACUCUGGAAAGUCUUAAUUAAGCACCGAAGGAGAAAUACAUGGCUUCACGUGAGCAUGUAGAAACUCUCAGGUAACAAGGACAGAGGAUAAACU